rnacentral:lncRNA from 1 species
AGGGCGGCCAUCGCGACUGAUUGGUCCAAGUUCCGGACCUCCAGCAUCGCGACGUUGAAACGGUUGAUGUAGGCCCGAAUGGACUCCCCUUCCCUCUGCUUGAUGUUGAUGAGGGACUCCGAACCCUUCGAGGGGCGCCGACUGUUGACGAAAUGGGCCACAAAUUGGUGGCUCAUUUGAUCGAAGGAAAAGAUGGUACCCGAUUUCAAAGCCGAGUACCAGUUCCUCGCCGCUCCCUUCAAGGUGGACGGGAAGGCCCGGCAGAGGAUGGCAUCAGGAGCACCGUGAAGCAGCAUCAUCGUCCGGAAGGCCUCCAGAUGAUCAACCGGGUCCGAAGUCCCGUCGUAGCUCUCGAACUGGGGAAGCUUGAAGUUUGACGGGAUCGGUUCC